rnacentral:rRNA from 1 species
UACGGGGGUGCGAGCGUUGUCCGGAAUCACUGGGCGUAAAGGGCGCGUAGGUGGCGUCGUAAGUCUGUGGUGAAAGCCCGGAGCUCAACUCCGGGUCUGCCGCGGAUACUGCGAGGCUUGAGUGCUGUAGAGGGGGGGUAGAAUGCCGGGUGUAGCGGUGGAAUGCGUAGAGAUCCGGCAGAAGACCGGGUGGCGAAGGCGGCCCCCUGGGCAGUAACUGAACACUGAGGCGCGACAGCGUGGGGGAGCAAACAGGG